GUAGGGGGCAAGCGUUGUCCGGAAUCAUUGGGCGUAAAGAGCGCGUAGGCGGCCAGAUAAGUCCGGCGUGAAAGUCACAGGCUCAACCUGUGAAUGCCGCUGGAAACUGUAUGGCUAGAGUCCGGUAGGGGCGAGUGGAAUUCCUGGUGUAGCGGUGAAAUGCGCAGAUAUCAGGAGGAACACCAAUGGCGAAGGCAGCUCGCUGGAACGGUACUGACGCUGAGGCGCGAAAGCGUGGGGAGCAAACAGGAUUAGAUACCCUGGUAGUCCACGCCGUAAACGAUGGGUACUAGGUGUAGGAGGUGUCGACUCCUCCUGUGCCGAAGCUAACGCAUUAAGUACCCCGCCUGGGGAGUACGGCCGCAAGGCUA
rnacentral:rRNA from 1 species